GCGCGUGUAGCUCAGUGGAUAGAGCACCCGCCUCCUAAGCGGGGGGUCGCAGGUUCAACUCCUGCCACGCGCACCA
rnacentral:tRNA from 1 species